CAGAGGUGGCAAGCGUUGUUCGGAAUUACUGGGCGUAAAGGGCGCGUAGGCGGCCUUCUAAGUCAGACGUGAAAUCCCCAGGCUUAACUUGGGAACUGCGUCUGAUACUGGAGGGCUCGAGUGCGGGAGAGGGAUGUGGAAUUCCAGGUGUAGCGGUGAAAUGCGUAGAUAUCUGGAGGAACACCGGUGGCGAAGGCGGCAUCCUGAACCGACACUGACGCUGAGGCGCGAAAGCUAGGGGAGCAAACGGGAUUAGAUACCCCGGUAGUCCUAGCCCUAAACGAUGAGUGCUUGGUGUGGCGGGUAUCGAUCCCUGCCGUGCCGAAGCUAACGCAUUAAGCACUCCGCCUGGGGAGUACGGUCGCAAGGCUG
rnacentral:rRNA from 1 species